rnacentral:rRNA from 1 species
GAUGUGGCCAUCGGCUACUUCCCCUCGAGCAUGUUCCCAGUGCCCUUCAUCGAGAGCUUCCACAACGAGAUGGGCGGACGGGUGCUGGACACGCGGCCGGGGGGCAGGCACACCGUGACGUGGAUGGGCAGCGGCAUGUUAGCCUCGGCGGGGGCCAACAACGCCGCCUCCAUUGCCUACUACCUAGGCAUCAACGACGACGGCGUCAAGUUGGAUUUUCCUGUCAACAGCAUCGUCACCACCCCCAAGUGCUACGAUGUCAAGAACCUUGGACCAGAUCUCAAACAUCCAGGCAACGACGUCGCCUACGGCGGCCCCGGAGGAUACUACUGCGAUCAAUAA